AGUCGUAACAAGGUUUCCGUAGGUGAACCUGCGGAAGGAUCAUUAUUGAAUCUAAACAUCCACGGGGCCGCACGAUGGCUGCGCUGCUUCUUCGCAGGCGGCCGGCUGUCGCUGCGGUCCUUACACCCCUUGUGAACCGGUAACCCCUCUCUCUCUCUCUCUCUCUCUCUCUCUCCGUAGCCAUCCGCUUCAACGGGGGCCAACAAGAGAGAGAGAGAGAGAGAGAGAGAGAGACCAACUUAGUUAAACCUGUUUAUCAUGUAUAGAAUCUAUUGCAUAAGCGAUUAUGCUCUAGUUUGUGUCUAGGAGUGAGAGUUUCCACACUUUUGUCCAAAGCACUGCUGUUGCAUAGUUAAUUUCAUUUAUUAAUUAUACAAUACAACUUUUAACAAUGGAUCUCUUGGCUCUC
rnacentral:misc_RNA from 1 species